AACGAACGCUGGCGGUGUGCCUCAUACAUGCAAGUCGUACGCGAAUCCUGCCGCAAGGCAGGGUUUGAGUGGCAAACGGGUGCGUAACACGUAGGUAAUCUUCCUUUGAGUUGGGGAUAAGCCCUCGAAAGGGGUCUAAUACCGAAUAACACUUCCGGUUGGCAUCAACCGGAAAUUAAAGAUGGCCUCUGCUUGCAAGCUAUCGCUCGGAGAUGAGCCUGCGGCCGANAGUUAGUUGGCGGGAUAAAAGCCCACCAAGACUUCGAUCGGUAGCCGGUCUGAGAGGAUGUCCGGCCACACUGGGACUGAGAUACGGGCCCAGACUCCUACGGGAGGCAGCAGUAGGGAAUAUUGCGCAAAUGGCCGCAAAGGCUGACGCAGCAACACCGCGUGGGGGAUGAAGGUUUUCGGAUCGUAAACCCCUGUCGGGAGGGAAG
rnacentral:rRNA from 1 species